AUUGAACGCUGGCGGCAUGCCUUACACAUGCAAGUCGAACGGUAACGCGGGGCAACCUGGCGACGAGUGGCGAACGGGUGAGUAAUAUAUCGGAACGUGCCCAGUAGUGGGGGAUAGCCCGGCGAAAGCCGGAUGAAUACCGUAUGAGACCUGAGGGUGAAAGCGGGGGAUCGCAAGACCUCGCGCUAUUGGAGCGGCCGAUAUCAGAUUAGCUAGUUGGUGGGGUAAAGGCCUACCAAGGCAACGAUCUGUAGUUGGUCUGAGAGGACGACCAGCCACACUGGGACUGAGACACGGCCCAGACUCCUACGGGAGGCAGCAGUGGGGAAUUUUGGACAAUGGGCGCAAGCCUGAUCCAGCAAUGCCGCGUGCAGGAAGAAGGCCUUCGGGUUGUAAACUGCUUUUGUCAGGGAAGAAAUCUUCUGGGUUAAUACCUCGGGAGGAUGACGGUACCUGAAGAAUAAGCACCGGCUAACUACGUGCCAGCAGCCGCCGUAAUAC
rnacentral:rRNA from 1 species